rnacentral:rRNA from 1 species
CCUACGGGAGGCAGCAGUGGGGAAUAUUGGGCAAUGGACGCAAGUCUGACCCAGCAACGCCGCGUGAAGGAAGAAGGCUUUCGGGUUUUUAACUUCCUUUCAGGUGGAAGCGCAGAAGACGGUACCCCUUGAAUAAGCCACGGCUAACUACGUGCCAGCAGCCGCGGUCAUACGUAGGUGGCAAGCGUUCGCCGGAUUUACUGGGUGUAAAGGGCGUGCAGCCGGAGAGACAGGUCAGAUGUGAAAUCCACGGGCUCAACCCGCGAACUGCAUAUGAAACUGUUUCCCUUGAGUGGCGGAGGGGUAAUCGGAAUUCUUGGUGUAGCGGGGAAAUGCGUAGAUAUAAGGAAGAACACUCGUGGCGAAGGCGGAUUACUGGACGAUAACUGACGGUGAGGCGCGAAGGCGUGGGGAGCGAACAGGAUUAGAUACCCGGGUAGUC